AAGUCGUUAUUUUUCCACUUACGCGCUCUUGGGAAAAAAACACGGGUCUCUAUUUUUGAAAGAUAUGACCGGAAGUAUUACUUUUUAUUCUCAUUUCUUCUUUGUUCUAAAUUUGUUUGCUUAUUUGUUUGCUAAAUAUUAAAUGUAUUAUCAUUAGGGUUAACACUGGAUCUAUAAACAGUUCUACCCAUUCUGACGCAAAUCUACUCGCUUACCUGUGAAGCGACUGGCCGUUACGGGGGUUUUACUUUGAAAAUACAAACACGGAAGUUGCAUCUAUUUUUUGCGUUCACACCCGAGCCGUCUUCAUCUCUCAUUGGGUAGCGGUGAAAUUUGAAAUGCAACCCGCUCAGUGUGGCUGUAGCUGCCGAAGGAUGCGGACAAAGGUUCGAAAAGCUAACAGCUAAAAAAAAGGAAACGGAAAAACAGCAGUGUGGUGGCUAAAUAUCACCGAAAGGCUUUUUUGUACAACGCCUCUCCAGAGGGCCUUAAAUUGUAAGACACCAUGGAGACUGCGGUGCUGAACCUCCAGGGCUUAUAUGAAAGGAUGAGGACGCAAGUUGACCUUCUCAGUGAGAACAUUGAACCCAACUUUAUUCAGAUGGCCCAAAACUUUGAUGA